AGAGAGAGACAUGCGCGCAUAUCAAUAAGCGGAGGAAAAGUCAGCUACCUACGCUUAGGAUGUUGAUCAGUCAUGCAUAGCAUAUCAAUAAGCGGAGGAAAAGAAACUAACAAGGAUUCCCUUAGUAACGGCGAGUGAAGCGGGAAGAGCUCAAAUUUGAAAUCUUCAAGGUUUUACCUUUACGAAUUGUAGUUUAAAGAAGUGUUUUCUGAUGAGGUUUUGGUAAAAGUUCUUUGGAAUAGGACAUCAUAGAGGGUGAGAAUCCCGUAUUUGACCAUUACUUUCAACUUUGUGAUACACUUUCAAAGAGUCGGAUUGUUUGGGAAUGCAGUCCAAAAUGGGUGGUAAAUUUCAUCUAAAGCUAAAUAUUGGCGAGAGACCGAUAGCGAACAAGUACCGUGAGGGAAAGAUGAAAAGAACUUUGAAAAGAGAGUUAAACAGUACGUGAAAUUGUCAAAAGGGAAGCGUUUGACACCAGUGUUGUUUUCUCGAAAAUCAAUUAAAGAAAGUUGAUUUUGCUAAGUUGUAUUAGACCUUAUCAGCUUAACUGCCUCUAGUUUCCUGAGCUUUUCUUUAAUGCACUUUUCAGUUAACAAGUCAACAUCAAUUUCUUUUGUUGUAAAAAGGUCAUUGAGGAAGGUGGCUUGAGCUUUCGAUAAAGUGUUUAUAGCCUCUUGAUCUCUGCAGUCGGAGAGACUGAGGUCUGCAGCGUAGAUCCUUCGGGGUUAAUAGCAUUUGUGCUAAGUUAUAGACUUUUCAUAGACAACUUGUUGACUAUGAUUUUAGUCAUGUAGCUUACUCGCUUAUGCUAUUUUACCUACGCUUAGGAUGUUGAGGAUGUAGCACAUCAU
rnacentral:rRNA from 1 species